rnacentral:rRNA from 1 species
CCUACGGGUGGCAGCAGUAGGGAAUUUUCGGCAAUGGGGGGAACCCUGACCGAGCAAAGCCGCGUGAACGAAGACGUUAUUCGUAAUGUAAAGUUUUUUUAACAGGGAAGAAAGAGAAAUUUGACGGUACCUGACGAAUAAGCUCCGGCUAACUCCGUGCCAGAAGCCGCGGUAAUACGUAGGGAGCGAGCGUUAUCCGGAAUUAUUGGGCGGAAAGGGUGCGUAGAUGGCAUAGGAAGUCAUUUGUAAAAAUGCUGGGCUCAACCCAGUAGGGCAAAAGAUACGGCAAAGCUAGAGUAUGACAGAGGUAAGCGGAAUGAGAGGUGUAGCGGUAAAAUGCAUAAAUAU